rnacentral:lncRNA from 1 species
GGUUUUGUGCUCUGAAGUAGAGGUGCCAAAAAUCCUCCAAGAUUUCCGAUCUGUAAGCUUUGCUUGCAAAGAUCCUCCUUUUGUUUUCCAGCAGCAGCUCUACGCACUGUACAAACUAAUCUCCAUCACCGAAGCCCAUUCUUUUCUAAUUAAAGCAGGAGGAAAGCAAUUUGUCGGGCUCUGCUCCUACCCGUCGCCUCAACUCUGGAUCCCUGAAAAUUCCCCAGCUUUGCCAACCGAGUUCUCUGCAGCUCUCUGCUGUCGAAAGAAAGGGUUAAGGACCCGCAUUCCUGCCCCGUUGCUCCGGAUCAAAGUUUUAUUUUCUGUGCUGCAGGGCAGGACCGGGGUGGCCCUUCUUUUCCCCCUCGCUGGCCGAGGCUCACAGCACCGUCCUGCCCGAGAAAGCAGAGACACCAGCGACUCGACGGGGGGAACAGCAGGAAAUGUUCUCAGCGAUUUCAUCUUCUCCAGGACCCAAACAAAUUGCAGGGCUGCGCAGGAGCCCUGUGUUUCAGGCAGACCGUAUAAAUAGCACCGGCAACGUAUCCGCGCUUGGAAAACGCAGAAGCAACAGUUAAAAUACAUAUAACUACUGAAGCCCGUGGAGUGUGGUUUUGGGUUUAGUCAGGCAAUUUGUAGUUUGCCUAACAAUUUAGGCCACAUGCGAGGCUUAUCUAGGUUAAAUACUGUAAGUCAGGUUUUGCUCUCCUUCGUGCACGGCUCCCAGGCUUGUCAUGC